CUCUGGCUCCCAAGCCCGGGCUCUUUCCGCUGAGCCACGCUGCUUCUCUAAGCGAGCGGCAGUCGAAAGCGGCAGAGGUCAGCAGCACUUGGAAGCGGAAAGAAGUGUCGGCCGAAAGGGCUCCCUCGACCAGGAGACCGGCAUCGGAGUCUUAGUCGAGCCGGCACUCUUCAGGGAUGCUUGGAUAAAACAACAUGAAAAGCAGAAUGGAUUCAGACACCAAGACAUCUGUUUUCAAAUAACACAGAAGGCUGGACAUCUCUACAGCUCCUUCCACUCCCUCGACUUAAGGGCAGAAACUCCCAGAUUGCCCUCUGCGCCCCAAACCCUGGAGCUCGUUAAGAUCUGAAGACAACAUCCAGCUCGAAAGAGACCCUCGGUUCACCUGACACUUUGCGGAUGACUUUCCGGGCUACAAUGUCAGUUCCAAGAAAACCUUUCUAACUAGAUGGGCACACCUGAGACAGGGGAAGCAUGUUAAAGAAAAAAAUUCUGAAAACAGGUGACCAUGCUAGAUGGUGAGGGAAUUGACGCCCGGAGAAGUGAAGUGACUUGCCC